ACGAUCGGCAUGCAACAUCAGAUCAGUCGGAACAGGCCGGAACAAAAAAUUUACAAAACUUAAGCUGCUGUUCAGCCAUUGCCGCCGCCUCCCACGAUUUAAAAAGUCGGAUGGUCGCCCAAUGCGUCCAGAGUCCGAUGAGUUCGCGCCGACGGAUCCGCGCCAUAAGGAACGAUUUCACCGCUGGGAAGUUAAUGAAGGUGGCCAUUCAGUCGCUACGAUUCUCUGAUCCUCAGGCAUUCACCAAGGGACAUCCUCUGUAGGCAGUUUUUUUGCAAUUGGAUGCUGUUCUUCGGCCCAAGCGAAACCUUUGAUUCCGUGAAAUUCUUCGUUGCACUCAUUGGUCUGCAGCACGUUUGGUUGGAAAUGCACGAGACGAUCCGCAACCCGGCCAUGAACCCGUGGCACGUAAUAUCGAAAAUGUUCGAUAGGAACACCAUCGACCAAAUAAAGCAGUUCGUCAACCUGGAACACUUUAUGUAUCCCUCGCUGGAUUCGGCGGC